rnacentral:misc_RNA from 1 species
GAUGAAGAACGUAGCGAAAUGCGAUAAGUAAUGUGAAUUGCAGAAUUCAGUGUAUCAUCGAAUCUUUGAACGCACAUUGCGCCCGCUAGUAUUCUGGCGGGCAUGCCUGUUCGAGCGUCAUUUCAACCAUCAAGCCCUGUUUAGGCUUGUGUUGGGGCCCUGCGGCUGCCGCAGCCCCCUAAAUGCAGUGGCGGGCUCGUUGUCACUCCGAGCGCAGUAGCGUAUCUCGCUCUGGGCGUGGCGGCGGGUGCUAGCCGUGAAACACCCACUAAGGUUGACCUCGGAUCAGGUAGGAAUACCCGCUGAACUUAAGCAUAUCAAUAAGCGGAGGA